GAUGAACGCUGGCGGCGUGCCUAAUACAUGCAAGUCGAGCGAACGGACGAGAAGCUUGCUUCUCUGAUGUUAGCGGCGGACGGGUGAGUAACACGUGGAUAACCUACCUAUAAGACUGGGAUAACUUCGGGAAACCGGAGCUAAUACCGGAUAAUAUUUUGAACCGCAUGGUUCAAAAGUGAAAGACGGUCUUGCUGUCACUUAUAGAUGGAUCCGCGCUGCAUUAGCUAGUUGGUAAGGUAACGGCUUACCAAGGCAACGAUGCAUAGCCGACCUGAGAGGGUGAUCGGCCACACUGGGACUGAGACACGGCCCAG
rnacentral:rRNA from 1 species